GCAGUGCCCAAUCUUACAGAAGCAGAGAAAAGCAGUGCCCAAUCUUACAGAAGCAGAGACAAGCAGUGCCCAAUCCUACAGAAGCAGAGACAAGCAGUGCCCAAUCUUACAGAAGCGGAGACAAGCAGUGCCCAAUCCUACAGAAGCGGAGACAAGCAGUGCCCAAUCCUAUAGAAGCAGAGACAAGCAGUGCCCAAUCCCACAGAGGCCAAGACAAGUAGCACCCAAUCCUACAGAAGCAGAGACAAGCAGUGCCCAAUCCUAAGAUUUGGACAGAGAGUAAGACUGGAAACCAUGUUUCAGGGCAGACUGUCAUGCUUUAGCUAGAGUGUCAGGAGUAAGGAUGAACAGUGGCCAAACUUAGAACUGAGGAUUGCCUUCCAUUACCAGUUUUACAUUGGCCAGUUAAAGACAGAAAAAGAGUCCAGACCAGAAGGAUCCACUGCUAAAACCAACCAUGUCAAGAGCAGUUGGCUGACCUUGACCUGGCAGUGAAGAGGAGACGCCCCAUAAACUGAGGCCUACCUCGGAAGAUAUGGUAA